UGGCCCAAAAAGGCUGCAAAUUUCAAAGGGGAAAAAUUGAGCCUUUGAAAAAAAGUUGCCUAAAAAUCCAAAAAAAUUCAGGGAAGAAUCUCCUAGGUUAAUUUUUGAAAGUAAUUCAAAAGAGAUUUUGGAGAAUUGUUCGAUUUGAAAGUCAAUUUUUUUGAAAAACUGACAGUUUGGAGAAAAUGGUAAGAAUUUUCGAAGAAAUGAAGCCGAAAAUAACUUCUCGAGGUCGAAAUGUACUAAAAAAUAUCUUUAGAUAAUUUUCUAAAGAGGACGAGAAAAGGUUAAAAAUUUCAUAAUUUUUCAUAUUUCGUUGAAAAAUUUUAUUAACUAAAAUCGCUAACAGACCGACAAACGGAAACGGAAGACCAACAUUUCCGUCUCCUGUAAAUGAUGAAAUGUCAACAAAUCCUGAAACCACGCUGAAGAAUAUAACAACAGACAACAAGAGACGGUUAAAUAUUUUAGAUAAGGAAAUUCCUAGGGACUUUAAUAACCACCAACUGUUGCGUGUGACGUCACGUAUAUUACUAAAAUAUGUGUCAAUGUGCAAUAAACAUGUCAAACAACAAA